GACGAACGCUGGCGGCGUGCUUAACACAUGCAAGUCGAACGGAAAGGCCCUGCUUUUGUGGGGUGCUCGAGUGGCGAACGGGUGAGUAACACGUGAGUAACCUGCCCUUGACUUUGGGAUAACUUCAGGAAACUGGGGCUAAUACCGGAUAGGAGCUCCUGCUGCAUGGUGGGGGUUGGAAAGUUUCGGCGGUUGGGGAUGGACUCGCGGCUUAUCAGCUUGUUGGUGGGGUAGUGGCUUACCAAGGCUUUGACGGGUAUCCGGCCUGAGAGGGUGACCGGCCACAUUGGGACUGAGAUACGGCCCAGACUCCUACGGGAGGCAGAAGUGGGGAAUAUUGCACAAUGGGCGGAAGCCUGAUGCAGCAACGCCGCGUGCGGGAUGACGGCCUUCGGGUUGUAAACCGCUUUCGCCUGUGACGAAGCGUGAGUGACGGUAAUGGGUAAAGAAGCACCAGCUAACUACGUG
rnacentral:rRNA from 1 species